GUGCCCGCUUCUGCAGCACAAAUACUAACAUUGGAACAAUACAGAGUAGAUUAGCAUGGCCCCUGUGCAAGGAUGAUACACAAAUUCAUGAAGCGUUCCAAGGCUGU